GAUGAACGCUGGCGGCGUGCCUAAUACAUGCAAGUCGAGCGAACAGAUAAGGAGCUUGCUCCUUUGACGUUAGCGGCGGACGGGUGAGUUACACGUGGAUAACCUACCUAUAAGACUGGGAUAACUUCAGGAAACCGGAGCUAAUACCGGAUAACAUAUUGAACCGCAUGGUUCAAUAGUGAAAGGCGGCUUUGCUGUCACUUAUAGAUGGAUCCGCGCCGUAUUAGCUAGUUGGUAAGGUAACGGCUUACCAAGGCAACGAUACGUAGCCGACCUGAGAGGGUGAUCGGCCACACUGGAACUGAGACACGGUCCAGACUCCUACGGGAGGCAGCAGUAGGGAAUCUUCCGCAAUGGGCGAAAGCCUGACGGAGCAACGCCGCGUGAGUGAUGAAGGUCUUCGGAUCGUAAAACUCUGUUAUCAGGGAAGAACAAAUGUGGAAGUAACUGUGCACAUCUUGACGGUACCUGAUCAGAAAGCCACGGCUAACUACGUG
rnacentral:rRNA from 1 species